rnacentral:lncRNA from 1 species
GUUCAUUUGCUUUGUCUGCAUGCUUUGGUUCUGAGUCCCCGCUUUCAAACCUCUCCUCUAGCUUGUUCUUAAUUGUUUGCUUGAGGGCAAGCAAAGACUAAGUUUGGGGGAGUUGAUAUGUCUAUAUUUCACUUGUUUUGAGCAUCCAUUUAGCAUCACUUUAUCAUCAUUUCGUCAUUGUUUCAUACCAUUCUUCAUCAUUUGUCAUCACUUUGCAUGAUUAGGGUAGUUUUGCAUGCAUGUUGCAUAUUUGAGUUGUUUCAGGUGCUUCGGGGCUAUUGGUGUUCAGAAAGAGGAAAAACAUAGCUGAAAGUCACAUUUGGACCAUUCUGCUCGAUCACCAGUAGCAGAGAGGGAAGCAGUCAGCUCAGCAGACCAUCAGGAGUGUUCUGCUCGAUCACAGGGCAGUCCAUCCUGCCAGUUCACAGUUCUGCUCGAUCACAGGGCAGUCCAUCCUGCCAAUUCACAGUUCUGCUCGAUCACAGGGCAGUCCAUCCUGCCAGUUCACAGUUCUACUCGAUCGCAGGGUUGAAGAAGCAGUCCAGACCGUGCCACCAACCAAUCUACUCGAUCACCACCUCCCCGCAGCCACUACCAACCAAUCUACUCGAUCACCACCUCCCCGCAGCCACUUGAUCACAAGCUUCACAGUCUUCUCAGAUCCCAACUCAACUCGAGCACAUACUCGACCCAAAUGCUCGAUCACGACAUGCCCAGAGCAAGAAAUCGCAAAGGCGCCAACUUUAUUCAACCUCUCUACUCGAUCACAAGGGUCGAGUAUCUCCGUAAACCGCCUUGUGAUUUAGGGUUUCCUAGUAUUUGCUAUAAAUAGGUUGUUUCUCAUAAUUUUCAGUCUAAGUUUUAUUCUGUCUAAGUUAUUUUAUGCAGAACAAUUAGUGCUUUCUUCAUCUUUGUAAUCCAGAUUUCUCUUAAUCUAUUGAGUAUUUGCUUUUGAUUUCUUCUACAAAGUUGUUCAUCUUGUUGAGAUCUUGCUUGUAUGAAGUUUUUAUGCAUUUCUGGGUUUAUGUUCAUGUUCAUGAGUUUUGAGUAGUGAUUAGGGUUCUUGAGGAUGGGUUAGAGUAGUUUAGAAUCCUUGAUCUGCUAGGUGGUUGAGUUUGAUUGGUAGAUCCCUUCUGGAUUAAUUGUUCUUAAUGCUGAUUGCUUUCUGAUCAACUGGAAUCUGAGCCCAGACAUUUCCGCACCCAAAAGGUGUUCGAUGAAAUGUCUGAACCACUAAUUCCAGAGAUUCGUGGCUCUGUACCAAGGUAUUGGUUACAGGGAGCGUUUUGGCUUAGACUUGUUGUUUCGUAAUGCCUGUUAGGUUAGCUCUCGUCAAUGGUGAUUGAGUCUGGGACUAGCUUUGCUUGAGGAUCUCUGUUGCGGUAGCACUUUGAUUUGGCUAUUGAACUUGUUGUCUAGGGAUAGUUUGUUGAGCAUGUUAACCACCUGUUAGAUUAAGGAGACUUCACUACUCGAUUACCCCAUCCUCGGGAAUUUCUCUUCCAAUUGAUUUCUUUGUUCACAUCGCUAUUGAUUGCUUGAUCUCGUUACUUGUUGCUUAGUUUUUGCAUUUUUACUUAUUUCACUUGAAGUACUCGACCACACCCAGCGGUUUGGAAACGAACUGUGUGGUAGAGUAGUUUUAUUGCAGUUUCCAUUUGGUACUCGACCUGAUACUCGACCACACCCAGUGCUUGGCAUCAGGCUGUGUUGGUCGAGUAUAUUAGCUAUUUCUGUUAUAAUUUCUGUUUUUGCAUGAUCACUUAGGAUUGUUAACAACAUCAAAACCUGGUCGAGUAUAUUAGCUAUUUCUGUUAUAAUUUCUGUUUUUGCAUGAUCACUUAGGAUUGUUAACAACAUCAAAACCUGUUAUUGCAUGAUAGUGAUUUAAGGAUAAUUGAUCUUAGUUAAAAUCUUACUAUCAUGUAGCCACCUUGGUUCUGAAUGUAACUGAUUUCAGCAGACUGAUCAUUCUCCCCCUCUUGGACUUGGAAUUGUUCAUCUUCAGAGACGAAGUGAACAUGCGUUUGUUGCACUUGCAGGAGCUUGUCAAGUUUGUCAUUGAGAGCUUUCAUCUCUUUGCGGUGCUUGUCAUCAGUGUCAGUACUAGUGCGGAUGCUUCUGUCAUAAUCCUCGUUGUAAUUGCCAUCCGACUGAGCUAAGUUUUCAACGAGCUCCCACCCUUCUCCAACGUCUUUGUUGAGGAAGUUUCCAUUGGAAGCGGUGUCAAGCAGCAUCCUUAUCUUGGGAAGGACGCCUCUGUAGAGUGUGCUGAGAAGAGAAGCUAUUCCAAAGCCGUGAUGAGGGCAUUUGGUCUGAUAACCUUUGAAGCGCUCCCAUGCAUCACAGAAAGUUUCAGCAUUCUUCUGAGUGAAUCCGGAUAUCUCAUUCCGGAGUCUUGCUGUUCUGGAGUUGGAGAAGAAUUUAGCCAAGAAGGCUUUUUUGCAGUCAUCCCAGGUCGUGAUUGAACCCCGGGGUAGCGUCUUUUCCCAUAGAUGGGCUUUGUCUCCAAGUGAGAAUGGAAACAAGCGAAGCUUGAAACCAUCUUCACUUACUCCAUUGAUUUUAGUAAGGCCACAGAGCCUUUCAAACUCGUCAAGAUGAUCAAGCGGAUCCUCCAUUGGCAAGCCGUAAAACUUGUUCCCCUGAACCAUUGCAAUGAGACCGCUCUUGAUCUCAAAGUUGUUGUUCUGGACUGGUGGAGGAACAAUUCCAUGACGCUGGUUGUGAUUGUGUGGGAAGUCACCAGCACCAAUGUUGUUGGGUUGGUCUUGGUCAUCUACAAUAUCAGCCAUUGUGUCUGUUGCUGUUUGUUCUCUUAGUUGGCGAGCGAUACGGUCGAUGUUAUCGUUGAAAAGGAGAUUCUGAUUUCCUCUUGACCGUGUAUGCAUAUAACAGGUAACAGCAAGGCUUUUAGCAGACCAAUCAAAGAUGAGUCUGUAAAGCUGGUUGCUGUGAGUACCUGAAACACAGACAGAAAAACACAAUGUCAGUAUCUUGUGUAACAAAAACGAACUUGAUCUUAACGAUUCUAAAGAUCUCAAAUAUAGCAAACAAACACUAAACUGGCAACGGCGCCAAAUUGAUAAUAGAUUUUUCACUCAAUUAAACCUAAAACACUAUCGUGUCGUUGUAGUAUUUUAGGGUGUCAAUCCAAUCUAGUGUGAUGCAAACAGAUGAGAUGUGAUCAGAAUUUGCUAAGUCAAGCCAAGCAGAGAGUUGUUGUUUUCUAACAGUCCUAAUGAAAAAUAACAGAAAUGAAAUGAAACUGAAAUGCAAACUAGCAAUAGCAGGAAGUUGAAUAACAAAGCAGGUAAGAUAAAGGCAAUCAAAUGGAUAAGAGAUUCCUAAGGACAGGGUAAUCGAAUAGCGUGGUCUCCUUAAUCUAUUUAGACGGUUGACAAAACUUCACAGAAGCUAUCCCUUGACAACAAGUUCAAAAGCAAAUCAAUUCACCACCGUGAUAGAAAUUCUCAAGCAGAGCUAGACACAGACCUAAUCACCAUUAGCGAUCUCUAACUAAGCAGGCAAUAUCGAAUCAACUUGUUAAAGCCAAUACCCGCUCUAAACGGCCAAUAUCUUGGGAUAGAGACGAGUAUCUCUGGAAUUAGUGGAUCAGACAUUCCAUCAAACACCUUUUGGGUGUGGGAAUAUCUGGAUUCAUUUUCCAGUUGAUCAGAAAGGAACAAGCAGUAAGCGCAACUAAUCCAGAAGGGAUUCAAACAAUCUAAACUCAACCAUCUAAAUCGACUAAGACAACCACGACUACUCUAUCCCAUCCUCAGAAAUACAAUUCACUACUCAGACAUAAUCAAAAACAAUAGCAAUGAAACGAUUGAAAACAUGAUAACAAGAAAUGAUAAAGACUGAAACAAAAACUGAAUUAUAAAAUACUUGAAAGCAAAUACAAAGUCGCAGGAAGAACACACUGCGGCUACGAAAACAAGUCUAGGUAAAAACUGAAAAAUAAAGACUGGAUGCCCUAGGGAAAACCCUUAGAGGCUGCUUAUAUAAGCAAAAAAAAAAGUUAAAUAAGGAAAGUUCGGGAUAGUGGUCUUCACAACGAGACUUUGCGAUCAAGCAUCUGAUGGGCUGAAAUGGGCUUCCCUGUGAUCGAGUGAAACUGAUCAAACUGGGCUUCGGGAACCCCGUCUUGCGAUCGAGUGGUCUGUAGUGAAGACGAGAUGGAAUGGUCCAGCGACCUUGCGAUCGAGUGGUGCGAUCGAGUAGAUGACGUGAGGUGGUGAUCGAGUGGUGUAGAGUGGGUGAUCCCUCCGGGCUUGCGAUCGAGUGAAACUGAGCUGCUGGCUUCUCCGGGGUUGUGAUCGAGUGAUAUGUCCUUCAUGACAGCUUCUGCUCGAUCUUGCGAUCGAGUGGUUUCUUCUGAAAUUGCUCCGGGGUUGUGAUCGAGUGGUUUUGCCCUUCAUGACAGUUUCUGGGGUUGCGAUCGAGUGCUUUGCUCUGUCAGGGCUCCGAGGUUGCGAUCGAGUGCUUUGGCUGAGGGAGUGAUUGAGCGUUCUGAAUUUCUGUUCUGUUUCUCCUCUGUUUGAACUCCAAAAGCAUCCAAAGUACCUGAAAACAACCAAAUAUGCGAUGCACAUGCAAUCCUAAUGCAAAAACGUCCUAAGUAUGCAAAACACACUAAAAAGACCACUAAUGAGAUGAAAUGUGACUGAAACAAUGACAAAGUGAUGAAGAAUGAAUGCUUAAAUCAUGCAAAUUAUAGACAUAUCAGAUGGUUGGCGACAUGUAUAGAUAUCGCUUUGAGCACCCCACAACCAAGAGAGCCAACAUCCUUCUUCCCCGCCCUGAGCUUACACGCAUCAUAGAGGGAUAUAACAUCAACUUUGAACCAUCAGUUGACGAUCUGUACGUCGAGAUAGCUCAGCCAACGCACGAGGCUGUUCCUGCAGAAGAAGAAGCUGCAGAUGAUGAGAUUGAUGAGAUGGAAGUAGAUUGGGAAGAGCCAUAUGAUACAAGUAUGUAUCAUUUCAGUGAACACGUGGCUCCAGCAAGAGAGAGUAAGAGCUUGAGUGAAGCUCACAAAAACCAGAGCCUAUUGCAGAAGUGGUGCAAGAAGCAGGACAAGUACAUCAACAAGUUCAUAAAGGGUAUGAAGUCUCUGAAGGCCAUGGUUAGCUGCUCGUCUUCCAGCACAGCAGUACCACAAGGACAGCCUCCUCAAGACAUGCCUUCGAGGAGAUAUGAUGAGCCUGAGCCUAGUGCGCAUGAAAUCUCUCCAGUCCCUGCAAGGCAUUCAUCACACGAGCCUCGAGAACACAAGAGGAGAAAGAAGGCUGUACUUGCCCGUUCCAACAGCACAACGCUGCUAAUGCGCUCCAGGAGCACACUCGACCGCGAUGCUGGCCGCAGAAGGAGAAGGGAAGUCGAGCACCAACAGGAAGGAGAAGCUGAAACGCAACAAGGAUGAUCACCUGCAAUCUUACUUCAACUGAGGUAAGCACUACCAUUCACCAUUGUCAAAUACCAUCUUCUGUUUAUUUUGUUUCUGUGUUGUUUUUGUCCUGAGUACUCUCUUCCAAGUUUGAUCACACAGAGGACUGUGUGAUUCGAGUUUGGGGGAGGGCUCAGGAAGUAUCUGAUGUGUUUGCUUUGUUCUUGCAUUGUACAUAUUGUCUGCAUUCAUCUAUGUUAUUGAAAAAACCCUAAAAAUUUGAAAAAUUUCUGAAAAUGAUUUCACAAAAAUAGAGUGUUCAUGUAGUUGCAUUUUCAUUUUAAGAUUGAGUCUAGAAGGUUUCAUAUAGGAUUGUUGCAUUUGCAUAGGGGAUGAUGAUGAGAUAACCUUGUAAGCAUGCUCAUUUACUGAAUGAAUUCAAUGCCCUCGUUAUUAGUUGUUUAAUGCUUGUGAUAGAACUUGAAUUAAAACUGCACCAUAUUUGGAAUUCACAACUUGACUCUCUUGUUUUAAUUGAAGCAUGCUUGAUGAGAUUCUUUUCCCUAUCUAUUAGAACCUAAACUUGACUUGUAAUUAUCAUGUCUUUGCAUUGUUGUUGAACUUGUGGCUACCAAUACACAUACUUGGAUUUUCUUUCACCUUCUACCACUCUUGCUAAUCCAAGUAGCUGAUUCCCAUCAUUGGAACAGUUUCCCCCACCCUGAACCUAACCUUUCUUUCAAGCCCUGAAUAAAUUUGUGUGUGUGUGAGGCCUAUUUCCGGAUUGAGCUUGGUAGAAAGUGUUAGGUAUGAACCGACAAGAAUGGUAUCCCAUGUAGUUCUAGUCCACGCUUUUUGGGCUAGAUAGGACUAGGUGGGAGUUUUACUUUGGGUUUGGGAUUGUGUUUGGAAAGAAAAUGAGAAAGAAAGACAAGUGUUAUUGUUCUUAGGAGAUGGAGGUGAAACAGAAAAGAAUAUCAUGUUAGUCUAGUAAAGAAUUUGGGAAGCUUGAAAAAAUAAAAGAAGUUAAGCUCUAUGCAAAGUAAAAAGAAAGGCAAAAGCCUAGAAAUGUCUUAAGUCAUGAGAUGAGAAGAAGAGCCUUAGUUGUAAAAGAAAGUCCCAAUCCGCUAGAAAGUCUAAAAGAAAACCUCUCCUUAGAACAAAACCAAAAAGAAAGAAUGGGUUGAUCCAAGAGAUUAUUGAAACAUGCCUUGAGUGCAAAGGGUAGAAUUAGGAUCAUUUCUGGGGUUUAGAGAUAGGACCAUCUAUGGAAUUCUUCAACAAUGUUUUGCUUGAUUCAUAGUUUGAGCUUAAUCAAUGUUAAAGGGAAUUGAUGAUCUGAAGGUGUGUGUAGAUUGGAACAAAUGUUAGGUUGUCUUGUGAUGAAUAUGGCUAAGGUUUUUAAGUAGAGUUUGGUCUCUAUGCAUUCCACAAUUACUAACUUGGACAUUGAGUCCAUUCGCUUUGUCUGCAUGCUUUGGUUCUCAGUCCCCGCUUUCAAACCUCUCCUCCAGCUUGUUCUUAAUUGUUUGCUUGAGGGCAAGCAAAGACUAAGUUUGGGGGAGUUGAUAUGUCUAUAUUUUACUUGUUUUGAGCAUCCAUUUAGCAUCACUUUAUCAUCAUUUCGUCAUUGUUUCAUACCAUUUCUCAUCACUUGUCGCCACUUUACAUGUUUAGGAUAGCUUUGCAUGCACGUUGCACAUUUCUGUGGUUUUCAGGUGAUUUGGAGCUACUAAUGAGCAGUUAGUCGAGCAGUCAGUCGAGCACUCUCAGCAGCCAUCGUCUCAAGACACUCGAUCACAUCUUCUCAUCACCAUGUGGAUUACGCGAUCGAGCAUCACCAGCAGAUUCUCCACAGAACCACUCGAGUUCGCAGUCGAGCACCCUCUCGAUCACCAAGUCGACUGACCACUCGAUAACCAUCUCAACAUCAUGCCCGAACACAUACUCGACCAACAUGGUCGAGUACCUUCCACCAACCUACUCGACCAAGCACUCG